rnacentral:rRNA from 1 species
CAGUAGCCACGGGAUUACGAAGGGUGCAAGCGUUACUCGGAAUUACUGGGCGUAAAGCGUGCGUAGGUGGUGGUUUAAGUCCGUUGUGAAAGCCCUGGGCUCAACCUGGGAAUUGCAGUGGAUACUGGGUCACUAGAGUGUGGUAGAGGAUAGUGGAAUUUCCGGUGUAGCAGUGAAAUGCGUAGAGAUCGGAAGGAACAUCUGUGGCGAAGGCGACUAUCUGGGCCAACACUGACACUGAGGCACGAAAGCGUGGGGAGCAAACAGGAUUAGAUACCCCUGUAGUCCCUGUCUCUUAUAC